AUUAUUAAAUUUGAUUAAAAUCAAGUUAAACAGAACUAAAACCAUAAUUGAAUUGAAAAAUAAUUAUUAAUCAAAAUGGGUACCAAGUAAAAUCGCCAGAGACCUAUAAUCUGAUCUCGGUUCUCCUCUAGGUGUUGGAUUCUUUCUUCUAUUUUUAGAAAACCGUAUAAUUAUUUUAUUUAUUUAACUUGUAUUUCUCCUUAUGUUUUCCUUUAAUUUUGAAGAGAUCAAGGUAGAAUUUUUCUUCUUUAAUCCACA
rnacentral:misc_RNA from 1 species